rnacentral:misc_RNA from 1 species
GAUGAAGAACGUAGCGAAAUGCGAUACGUAAUGUGAAUUGCAGAAUUCAGUGAAUCAUCGAAUCUUUGAACGCACAUUGCGCCAGCCAGCAGUCUGGCGGGCAUGCCUGUUCGAGCGUCAUUUCAACCAUCAAGCCCCAGGCUUGCGUUGGAGCCCUGCGGCUGCCGCAGCCUCCUAAAAGCAGUGGCGGGCUCGCUAUCACACCGAGUGCAGUAGAUUACUCUUCGCUCAGGGCGUGCAGCGGGUUCCGGCCGUGAAACCCCCUACUUUUAAAGGUUGACCUCGGAUCAGGUAGGAAUACCCGCUGAACUUAAGCAUAUCAAUAAGCGGAGGA